ACCUACGGGAGGCAGCAGUGGGGAAUAUUGGGCAAUGGGCGCAAGCCUGACCCAGCAACGCCGCGUGAAGGAAGAAGGCUUUCGGGUUGUAAACUUCUUUUAAGAGGGAAGAGCAGAAGACGGUACCUGACUAAGAAGCCCCGGCUAACUACGUGCCAGCAGCCGCGGUAAUACGUAGGGGGCAAGCGUUAUCCGGAUUUACUGGGUGUAAAGGGAGCGUAGGCGGUGAUGCAAGUCAGAAGUGAAAGCCCGCAGCUCAACUGCGGGACUGCUUUUGAAACUGUAUGACCAGAUUGC
rnacentral:rRNA from 1 species